rnacentral:misc_RNA from 1 species
GGUGAAGAACGCAGCGAAAUGCGAUACGUAGUGUGAAUUGCAGAAUUCAGUGAAUCAUCGAAUCUUUGAACGCACAUUGCACCUCUCGGUAUUCCGGGAGGUAUGCCUGUUCGAGCGUCAUUUGUACCCUCAAGCUCUGCUUGGUGUUGGGUGUUUGUUCCGCCUCUGUGUGUGAACUCGCCUCAAAACAAUUGGCAGCCAGCGUACUUGUUUCGGAGCGCAGCACAUUUUGCGAUCCAGAUCAACGUACAGCGGCAUCCAAGAAGCCUUAUUUAACGCUCUUGACCUCGGAUCAGGUAGGGAUACCCGCUGAACUUAAGCAUAUCAAUAAGCGGAGGA